UUGCAGUCUGCAACCCGAGUACAUGAAGCUGGAAUCGCUAGUAAUCGCGAAUCAGAAUGUCGCGGUGAAUACGUUCCCGGGUCUUGUACACACCGCCCGUCACACCAUGGGAGUCGGAAAUGCCCGAAGUCGGUGACCGAACCGAAAGGAAGGAGCCGCCGAAGGCAGGUCUGGUGACUGGGGGUGAAGUCGUAACAAGGUAUC
rnacentral:rRNA from 1 species